rnacentral:rRNA from 1 species
GGUAUAGACCCGAAACCCGGUGAUCUAGCCAUGGGCAGGUUGAAGGUUGGGUAACACUAACUGGAGGACCGAACCGACUAAUGUUGAAAAAUUAGCGGAUGACCUGUGGCUGGGGGUGAAAGGCCAAUCAAACCGGGAGAUAGCUGGUUCUCCCCGAAAGCUAUUUAGGUAGCGCCUCGUGAAUUCAUCUCCGGGGGUAGAGCACUGUUUCGGCUAGGGGGCCAUCCCGGCUUACCAACCCGAUGCAAACUGCGAAUACCGGAGAAUGUUAUCACGGGAGACACACGGCGGGUGCUAACGUCCGUCGUGAAGAGGGAAACAACCCAGACCGCCAGCUAAGGUCCCAAAGUCAUGGUUAAGUGGGAAACGAUGUGGGAAGGCCCAGACAGCCAGGAUGUUGGCUUAGAAGCAGCCAUCAUUUAAAGAAAGCGUAAUAGCUCACUGGUCGAGUCGGCCUGCGCGGAAGAUGUAACGGGGCUAAACCAUGCACCGAAGCUGCGGCAGCGAACGUAUCACCCAAGACAACUUUACGGAGUUGACGAUUGACGGAGCGAAGCGACGU